rnacentral:rRNA from 1 species
UACGAAGGGGGCUAGCGUUGUUCGGAAUUACUGGGCGUAAAGCGCACGUAGGCGGAUCGAUCAGUCAGGGGUGAAAUCCCAGGGCUCAACCCUGGAACUGCCUUUGAUACUGUCGAUCUGGAGUAUGGAAGAGGUGAGUGGAAUUCCGAGUGUAGAGGUGAAAUUCGUAGAUAUUCGGAAGAACACCAGUGGCGAAGGCGACUUACUGGACACAUAUUGACGCUGAGGUGCGAAAGCGUGGGGAGCAAACAGG